rnacentral:rRNA from 1 species
AACGAACGCUGGCGGCAUGCCUAACACAUGCAAGUCGAACGAGACCUUCGGGUCUAGUGGCGCACGGGUGCGUAACGCGUGGGAACCUGCCCUUAGGUUCGGAAUAACUCCCCGAAAGGGGUGCUAAUACCGGAUAAUGUCUUCGGACCAAAGAUUUAUCGCCUUUGGAUGGGCCCGCGUUGGAUUAGCUAGUUGGUAGGGUAAAAGCCUACCAAGGCGCCGAUCCAUAGCUGGUCUGAGAGGAUGAUCAGCCACACUGGGACUGAGACACGGCCCAGACUCCUACGGGAGGCAGCAGUGGGGAAUAUUGGACAAUGGGCGAAAGCAUGAUCCAGCAAUGCCGCGUGAGUGAUGAAGGCCUUAGGGUUGUAAAGCGCUUUUAACCGGGAUGAUAAUGACAGUACCGGGAGAAUAAGCGCCGGCUAACUCCGUG